rnacentral:rRNA from 1 species
AACGAACGCUGGCGGCGUGCCUAACACAUGCAAGUCGAACGGGGUUCGGAGCUUGCUCCGAUGAGAGUGGCGCACGGGUGAGUAACGCGUAGAUAAUCUGCCUGAUGAUCUGGGAUAACAGUUCGAAAGGACUGCUAAUACCGGAUAAGCCCACGGAGACCUUGCUCUUUGCGGGAAAAUGUGGGGCCCUUCGGGCCUUCCGUCAUCAGAUGUGUCUGCGUACCAUUAGCGAGUUGGUAGGGUAAAGGCCUACCAAGGCGACGAUGGUUAGCUGGUCUGAGAGGAUGAUAAGCCACACUGGAACUGAGACACGGUCCAGACUCCUACGGGAGGCAGCAGUGGGGAAUGUUGCGCAAUGGGGGAAACCCUGACGCAGCAACGCCGCGUGAGUGAUGAAGGCUCUUGGGUCGUAAAGCCCUGACAGAGGGAAAGAAGUGUAUGGUGGUUAAUACCCAUUGUACUUGACGGUACCCUCAAAGGAAGCACCGGCUAACUCCGUGCCAGCAGCCGCGGUAAAAC